GCCCUCGUAGUGAAACGGAUAUCACGCGUGGCUUCGAACCACGAGCUUGGGGUUCAACUCCUCACGAGGGCACCA
rnacentral:tRNA from 1 species